rnacentral:rRNA from 1 species
UACGUAGGGAGCGAGCGUUGUCCGGAAUCAUUGGGCGUAAAGCGCGCGUAGGCGGCCCGAUAAGUCCGCUGUGAAAGUCAACGGCUCAACUGUUGGAUGCCGGUGGAUACUGUCGGGCUAGAGUACGGAAGAGGCAAGUGGAAUUCCUGGUGUAGCGGUGGAAUGCGCAGAUAUCAGGAGGAACACCUAUAGCGAAGGCAGCUUGCUGGGACGUUACUGACGCUAAGGCGCGAAAGCGUGGGGAGCGAAC